UGUUUGCGUUAUCCGUACGUCAAUGGAGGAGAAAACAUGAACCAUUGUCUAAAUUCUUGCGAGUGCCAGGUAGACGCGAAAAUUUAUGUACCUCUACAAUCGCGUACUUUCAGGAUAAUUGGAAUGUGUAAAGCAUAACUCGAAACGUUUAAAAAAUGUAAGUUGAGCUUUUCUAACUGUGGACCACCACCGUCAGUAGCAUCUAACAAUCAGAAAAAUAUAAGGUGGAAGAAAUGUCAGUGCCCAAAAAGAACAGUGCAACGAACCACAUUUUUUGUAUUGGAAUGACUUUCACUGACCGAGAGCCAGAAAAUAUCCUUCGGAAAAAGAAAUGUAAAUUCCGGUUCAAACUGGGGAGGAUUUUCGUACCGUCUGGGUUAAACAGGUGUCCGGAAAGCGGGUCAACUUUCAAGUUGACAACAAACCGCGACUUGACCACAUUGCAAAUUCCUUCGCCAUGAUGUCGUGGAUCAGCUUCGGGUCCAUAACGAACAGAUACGGCAAGUUUAACAGCGAAACUCCACCAAAUCUCGUCUUUUUGAACUCUUUGUAGAUGUCCAGGGCAACCUCAGCCUUAACGAAAUCUCCAAAGCUUCCAAGCAGCCACUGCGAUUCCCUGUAGAAAGGAUGCCUCUUGGCACAGAACGAAAACUGAUUACGGAUAUAGCAGUAACCAAAUGUUAAAGCACCGAGCGGCGCUAUCCAUAGAUAACGCCAAGUCAAAAACCACGUAUUUACAGCCACAAAAAUGCCUUAAACUAAAUCACUGGUGAUAAACCCUUUGGAGGCUUUCCUUCAACUUCAGAACGACACAAAUUCUAUAAUGAAUCGAAGUCAAAUCGAGCCUUUCACAAAUUGAAUCACUUGCGCCGUCACUCUUGUAAUUCCAAGGUCAACGAGCGAACCAAUUAUAACCAAUUAGAGCCAAUUGGAGCCUCGGGCGACCAUUGAAAAUGGCAAGGUGACAAUUUUAUAAAAAGCUUUAGGCAUACUGAAGCCGCAAGUAUGUUUCUGAUCAGGUUCUUUCGACUAAUGCGACACGUGUAAUUAAACCUUAUAACAGUAUGAGAGAAACAAAGAGGAGAAGUGAAGGCAACACUAAUUGCAGGUUAUUCUACACUUCGGUUUGGAACUGAAUGGGUGAUGUAUUAUUCAUCGGUCAAGUGGGACGUGAAUCUAUAGGUAAUUGCUCAAGAUAGAAGAUGUUAAGUGGGUACAUGAAAACGAUCACUAUUAACGUAACGAUGCAAUGUGGGAAUGGCACGAUUGUAAAAUCGAAUGACAUAAACGGUGUUCAUUUCCAUUUCAUUCGACAAUAUUUACAACCUCAAGUGUGCCACUUACUAAUUGCUGGAAUCGGUACUCCAGCACGGGAAGAUAUUGUGACCAGUACUAGAUUUUGAUUUCUUGAGGACAAGCUACCAAGGAUCCUGCGACCUCUCGCAAAGUU